AUGAAAACAAAAAUGUACUUUAGAGGGAGCAGCUAAGUGACUCAGUGAUUUGAAAGCCAGUCCUGGAGACCAGAGGUUCUGGGUUCAAAUUUGACUUCAGGCACUUCCUGUGCAAGUGUGGGCAAGUCACUUAAUCCCUGUCUCCUAGCCCUUAUUGUACUUAUUGUACUUUUGCCUUGGAACCAAUACACAGUUUUGAUUCCAAAAUGGAAGGUAAGGGUUUUAUUUUUUUUUUAUUUUAAUGCAUUCUAGAGUAAAAAGUCAUAUUUGAAUGAUCUAUUCUUUGUGAUUUUUUUGGCAGGACCUGUCCAUUUGGGGAAAGUGCCUGGUAUAGAAGCUUCAGUGGUGUGCUGGUAAAUGUCUAACAACCAAUUGAGCUGGUAGGGGGAGGGGGAAGGGGCAGGGUGAAUGGGGGCAACACAUGUUUGCAUUUAAGCUUUAUUAUUAACAUUUUUUCCAUUACUUUCCUUAGUCUUGAAGAUCAACAAAAUAAUAAAUUAAGCCCUGAUUAAAAGCAUUUGCUAAUUUCCAAGGUGAAAAUGUUCACAAAGAAAAUUUAACAAUCGACUGUCCAGUUGGAGCUAACUCUAGGGGAGCGUUCUCUGGCUGUUACAGAUUGACAGCUAGUCUGUAAUUAGGUUUAGAGUUACCUGAGGUACUGAGAGUGACUUGCCCUAGACCAGUCAGUAUUAGUCUUUGGGACCACUAUAGAGCUUCUCCCAUACUUAAGAUUAUCUAUGCCUUCUUAUGGGAUUGGUGUCAGGUCAUCCUCGAGUUAACCACAUAAAUUACAAUAACAUCUUUCUUUAUAAAAUAAAUAAUGGGUGUCAUAAACACCUGAUAGCUUUUAAUGAAGGCCUUUUAAAUAAUUUAUUUUCUGUCCCUUUUUUUUCCUUGCCUGGAACAUUGUGACUCCCUAAGCAGAUGUGAUGGAUUUACCUCCACAUCGGAAUAAGAAUGAAAUUGAAACUACACAGUAUUGUGACCUAAUAAAAAGAACCCCGGACUUGGAAGCACCAGAAGACUGGGAUUUUUGUCGUUGCUGUUGCUAUUUUGUCCCUGCUCUUCCUCUUGGCUCUGUGAUCUCUAGCAAAUCUCUUAAUUUCUCUGGAUCUCAAUCUCCUCAUCUGUCAAAUAAGGAUCACGAAUUCUGAUUUGUGUCUUGGGAUGAUGGGAUGGGAUGAGAUGACACGAUGAUGACAGGAUGAAACGAGAUAAGAUCUAUGAAAGAACUUUUUAAAAGUUUUAAAGUACUACACAAAUGGAAAGUAUUAUUAUCUCAUGGUCUGAUAUUGUAUUAAGCAAAGCUGAUUCAAAUAAAUCAUUUGCUGGUUAUGUUUAUAUAUACGAU
rnacentral:lncRNA from 1 species